GCUUCAGGAGUACCUCCUCUUACCUAUGCUUCUUCCAUCAGAAUACUGAUGCCAGCUGUUGUAGUUUUGGGAAUGGUUGCUGCCCUCAGACAGUAAACUCACCGAAAGCAGGCUCCAGAACCCCUUGAACUUGCUCUGUUGGGGCCACCUUCUACUCUGUACUCUGGGCAUUGCCCUCAUGCCUGUCUUCGCCAUUAUAUCAGGAACUUCCUGAGGACGGCAAACCCAUUUGGAUCUUCCCCAGCUCUUUAAGCACCACUCACAUACCCAUACCAAGAACAUAGAAUAUACUUAGGUAAUGUCUGGGGAAUCAAAACGAAUCACCAGGCUAGCUUACCACCAGCCAGCAAUGCCCUGAGGACCUGAUGCCAUGUGGAAGAGUGGGUUGACAGGCUGGGAGCUUUGUCGGAUGUUCCAGACCUGAGAACCCAGGGGCUCUGGCCAGUUUGAGCAAUUUAUACUUAAGACAGUGAUAGUAUAAACCCCAGAAAGAGAGCAUUUCCGAAAGAGCUAGAACAGAGAGAUGGCCUAAUCUCAGCUGUCCCAAUCACAAAAUACAUUCAGUUCCCUCACCUCCUCUGCCCUGCUCUUCCCUAGAGCUCUAAAUAACCAGCCUGGUCAGCUUUAGUCACUCUGGAAAAUGUAUGUAACUGCUGAUAAAGUCUAGCCCAAACAUCCCUCUCACACUGUGCUGACUCAUUUGCCCAAAAUAUGCCUGACCAGCGAGGCAGAAAUAAUGAUUCUUACUGGCUUUUAACUACCAGGCUCCCUAGCUCUAUUUCCUUUAGUCCUAGGGGCAUAUUCUAAUUUGGUAGAGAAAAGAAAAUAAGAAGCAUGCCUGCCAAUUCCCAUCCUAGAAUGACUGAAGAAAGGAAAUGUAUACAGUUAUGUUAAAGGUCCAUGUAUUUAUAUGAAAGUGUCAUUCACAACCUCCACCCCCACUUCACACCCAACCACCACUCCCAUUGCCAUAGAGAACUGUCUCAACCUAAUUGCAUCUUGGAGUUCUGCCAUUAUCCUUUAUUAAGAGAAAUGAGAUUAAACAUCACUGUAAAAAGGA